UCUGACCUCAAAUCAGGUAGGACUACCCGCUGAACUUAAGCAUAUCAAUAAGCGGAGGAAAAGAAACUAACAAGGAUUCCCCUAGUAACUGCGAGUGAAGCGGGAAAAGCUCAAAUUUGAAAUCUGGCGCUUCCGGCGUCCGAGUUGUAUUCUGGAGAAGCGUUUUCCGUGCUGGACCGUGUACAAGUCCCUUGGAACAGGGCGUCAUAGAGGGUGAGAAUCCCGUCUUUGACACGGACUGCCAGUGCUCUGCGAUGCGCUCUCGAAGAGUCGAGUUGUUUGGGAAUGCAGCUCAAAACGGGUGGUAAAUUCCAUCUAAAGCUAAAUAUUGGCGAGAGACCGAUAGCGAACAAGUACCGUGAGGGAAAGAUGAAAAGCACUUUGGAAAGAGAGUGAAACAGUACGUGAAAUUGUUGAAAGGGAAACGCUUGUAGUCAGUCGCGUCUUCUGGAACUCAGCCUUGCUUCUGCUCGGUGCACUUUCCAGUUUGACGGGUCAGCAUCGGUUUCGGUGGGGCAGACAAAGGCGGAGGGAAGGUGGCCGCUCCGGCGGUGUUUAUAGCCCUCCGUUGUACGUGUCCCCUGGGACCGAGGAAUCCGGCGUAAGCCUGGGAUGCUGGCGUAAUGGCUUUAAGCGACCCGUCUU
rnacentral:rRNA from 1 species